CUCAAACAAUUUAGCAUACGCCCCUUUCUUAGUCCCCACUUUCUUCUCCACCUCUUCAUUCCACCACCAAUCCCCCCGAUGAUGCCCGGCCCGACCCCUAGAAAUACUCAACACCUCACUUGCAUUCUCCCUGAUGCACCUAGCCGCCCUAUCCCACAUACUAUCCACGUCCCCCCUACACUCCCACACCCCCAUUCCCGCCAACUUCUCCCCUAUCUCCCACGCAUUCAUUGGCGUCAAGCCGCCCCACUUAAUUCUAGG
rnacentral:lncRNA from 1 species